rnacentral:rRNA from 1 species
GACGGUACCUGAAGAAUAAGCACCGGCUAAUUACGUGCCAGCAGCCGGCGGUAAUACGUAGGGUGCGAGCGUUAAUCGGAAUUACUGGGCGUAAAGCGUGCGCAGGCGGCUUUGCAAGACAGAUGUGAAAUCCCCGGGCUCAACCUGGGAACUGCAUUUGUGACUGCAAGGCUAGAGUACGGCAGAGGGGGAUGGAAUUCCGCGUGUAGCAGUGAAAUGCGUAGAUAUGCGGAGGAACACCGAUGGCGAAGGCAAUCCCCUGGGCCUGUACUGACGCUCAUGCACGAAAGCGUGGGGAGCAAACA